rnacentral:sRNA from 1 species
CAGAAUGUUGGCUACCAGGGUAUUUAGCCUAGUUGGCAAGCGAGCAAUUUCCACCUCUGUGUGUGUACGAGCUCAUGAAAGUGUUGUGAAGAGCGAAGACUUUUCGCUCCCAGCUUAUAUGGAUCGGCGUGACCACCCCUUGCCGGAGGUGGCCCAUGUCAAGCACCUGUCUGCCAGCCAGAAGGCCUUGAAGGAGAAGGAGAAGGCCUCCUGGAGCAGCCUCUCCAUGGAUGAGAAAGUCGAGUGUGGGUAUUGAAGGGACCCACAGGCGCGCCCAGCAGCUCUCAGAAGUGUGUGUGUGACAGAGCCUCUGCUCACUUCUGGGCCUACUGUCUAGAGAGCAGUCUUGCACAGGAGGGUUGCUCUGCUGGGUUUCGGGGUCACUGUCCCAGGGCCCUAGUUUAUGUGCUCACCAGUCACUUAGCUCUGCCAGCUGACAGGAUCUUUUGCUAGGCCCCCUUCUCUGUGCUGAGUGGAGGUACCCUCUCAGCAUAUCUGCUGGGUAAGACAUUGUUAACUGUAAAUUAUUGAAAGAAACUCAGCAAAAUGCAUAGUGUUUGGUAUGAAAGGGGCAGAAAAAUAACAAGAUUAAAUAGACCCUAAUACUGUAAUUCAAGUAAGAAAUAAUUUUGCAGUUUUAAUUUGCACCUGAAGCGAACUGUAUGCAUUUUCUUCCUUCCUUGCCCUGUCACAUGCCUGCGUGGGCACGUGUGUGCACGUACGUGCAUGAACAUGAUGUGGCCUGGGUUGGUGUAUCCUUCAGCUCUGUGUUUCCUCCUUCACAAGUGUGGUUUUGGGGAGAAGUGGUUGAAUGUUGCAGAGGAGGGAGCUGCUGACCUUUGUGCCUGUAAAUGGCUGUCCUCUCUGCCCCCAGUGUAUCGCAUUAAGUUCAAGGAGAGCUUUGCUGAGAUGAACAGGGGCUCGAACGAGUGGAAGACGGUUGUGGGCGGUGCCAUGUUCUUCAUCGGUUUCACCGCGCUCGUUAUCAUGUGGCAGAAGCACUAUGUGUACGGCCCCCUCCCGCAAAGCUUUGACAAAGAGUGGGUGGCCAAGCAGACCAAGAGGAUGCUGGACAUGAAGGUGAACCCCAUCCAGGGCUUAGCCUCCAAGUGGGACUACGAAAAGAACGAGUGGAAGAAGUGAGAGAUGCUGGCCUGCGCCUGCACCUGCGCCUGGCUCUGUCACCGCCAUGCAACUCCAUGCCUAUUUACUGGAAACCUGUUAUGCCAAACAGUU